rnacentral:lncRNA from 1 species
UGGUUCGUGGCGGAGAGUCGCCUGCGGAGCUCAGUGACGGCGCCAUCUUGUUUGCAGGAGGCUACGCAGUGAGCCGAGGGGCUGCGAAGCAGGGCGGCAGGUCGGAAAUCAGCUGGGCCCGCCCCGAGUGAGGGUGGAGCUGAGGGUUGGUGCGCGGGUGCCCGAAGGGUCUGCUAAGAGCUGGUGGGCCAGCCCAGGAUGUGAGUGCAUUCUACCAGAACCAGGUGUGUUCAGCAAGCGAAUGUGUUCAAGUAGAAGCUGCACUGCACCUUGUAAACUGCAAAGUGGCUUAUGGCAACUGGAGCUUCUAGAUUCAGCACUUGAAACUGAAUGUGAGAUUCCACUGUUACCCAGUGCACUCAUUAAUACCAGCCCCAGAAGAGAUUCCUGAGAAUGGCUGGAAAACCUGACCUUCCUCUCCUGGCAUCAUGCUUCACUUCCUCAUCUGCAAACUGGAGAGAAUACUUACCAGAGCUGGAGAGCAUAUGAGACAGGAAGCCCAAGUUCUGGUUCUAAGUGCCCAAGUUAAAAAGUUAUACACCAAGAAACCUAAAAUAACAAGCCAGUUGUUUCAGCUGCUUCUUCAACUACUGGAGUUAUGCUAGAACAAGAAAACUAGGCACCAUGUCAAGGAGUAGACUGGGACAUACAGCAAAUAGAUGUUUCACUCAGAGCACUAUAUAACAGAAGAUAACGGAUCCUUACAAAAGCUGGUUUGCUAGGUAAACAAUAAGUUUAUAAAAAUCUUUUGUUUCUUAAAUGGAAGGAGUCCCUAAGCUACAUGACUGUGGAUUUGCAUUCACGUGUUACAGGUACAUAUAUACACUUAUUGCUGAAAUAUUUAACUGCUAAAAUGCAACUUCACAUUACAUGAAAAUAAAGGAAGAGAACAACUGCUGCCUAAAUCUUGCUUAUUGCUAUUCCUUGCACUCACUCUGUACGUUCCCACCUCAAGCAGUGCAAAUAUAUCCACUUCCUCCGAUGAAUAUUUGUAUGCAACAAAUAUAUGUACAGAAUCAAAGUACACUACAGCUCUAAUUUAGUAGGAAAGGAACCUAUUCAGAGCUGUACAGUAACACAUUAUGAAGCUCAACUCACUCACUUGGCAUUGCUUUCUGCAGCUUCCUCUUUUGCUUCCACAUCACCCUCACAUUUUACAGACUUGUUCUUUUCAUCCAUCCAGUCAGACACAUGUUUAAGGGCACAUUCUACUGUUGAUACCAUGUUCUGGACAGCUUCAAGUUCUUCUGGAGAUGGAUAAAUGGUUGAAUGUUUCACCAUAACAUGGCGGUCAUCGUUAGCAAAAGAUCGGAUAGAUCUCUGUUACAGAUUGGGAAAG